UUUGAUGGCGACCGGCGCACGGGUGAGUAACACGUAUCCAACCUGCCGAUGACUCGGGGAUAGCCUUUCGAAAGAAAGAUUAAUACCCGAUGGCAUAGUUCUUCCGCAUGGUAGAACUAUUAAAGGAUUUCGGUCAUCGAUGGGGAUGCGUUCCAUUAGGUUGUUGGCGGGGUAACGGCCCACCAAGCCUUCGAUGGAUAGGGGUUCUGAGAGGAAGGUCCCCCACAUUGGAACUGAGACACGGUCCAA
rnacentral:rRNA from 1 species